AAACCAUGGAUGCAAAUAAAUUAUCUGCCCUGGUUACCAUUUUGGUUCUCAGUCUGCAUCCCUGUGAUGGGAGCGCAACAAUUUGGUGAUAACCAGAAAUUCACUUCCAUACUUUGAAGCAACACGGUUAUGCUUUCAUUACGGUGCUUUCUUUGGGGUGUCUUGCCUGAUCGGAGUAAUAAAGCCUUUUUCUUUUUUUUUUUUUUCUUUUGCAGAUCUUUGUCUGUCGUCGUCGGAUUUGUUAAAAACAUCGAGACGUUGAAGUUCUGCCAAGAUCACUCGGAGCUCCUAUUUAGCAUCAGUGUGUCUGUUUUCAAUAAAAGGUGGCUGUAGUGACCAUCUGCAAGCCAGCUCCAGGCCGUCUUCCAUCGUGGUUCAGUGUGGUGCCUCACAUGGUGAGACAGGAGGUGUGGCAGCCCAAGAUGUCCCCGCCUGCUGAGGAGGAGUCCUCUGCUGAGGAGGAGUCCUCUGCUGAGGAGCUCCCAUCUCCACCCACCAGCAUCUGAGCUGCUGUGUGAGACCGCAGUCUGACUUCGCUGCUCGGGUGGACAACGCUCUGGUCUGCUGUCAGGCGGAUUCUGCUGAAACCUGCCGUGACGCGUGUUGUGCGAGCUGUACUGGUCCGACUUAAUGAGGUUUGGUGAGGACAUUGUUACUUAUACUGUAUAUUUGUUCAUUAUGCUGUAUGUUAGUUUCCUUUUCUGCGUUUAUCUCCUCUAUCAUUAAACUUUUACUUGUUUUGUAGAAGCUGCUUUACGGUUAUAGUGAAGUUUGUUGUUGCACAGAAACAGAGUUUGAAAUAAACGGUACAACGUC